rnacentral:rRNA from 1 species
UACGGAGGAUGCGAGCGUUAUCCGGAUUUAUUGGGUUUAAAGGGUGCGUAGGCGGUCCGUUAAGUCAGCGGUAAAAUUGCGGGGCUCAACCCCGUCGAGCCGUUGAAACUGUCAGACUUGAGUUGGCGAGAAGUACGCGGAAUGCGCGGUGUAGCGGUGAAAUGCAUAGAUAUCACACAGAACACCGAUUGCGAAGGCAUCUGACGAAUCGGAGAUUGACGCUGAUGCACGAAAGCGUGGGUAUCGAACAGG